UUUCACCAUAAGUCAUUCUAGCAUUUCCCACAUUCAUAUUGAUGGUAAAGAAUAUAGACAUAUACAUCUAUUUAGAUUUAUUAGCAUUAAUAUGAAUGUGGGAAAUGCUAGAAUGACUUAAAUUGUGAA
rnacentral:misc_RNA from 1 species